UGCUAGUGAAAGAGAUCCUAGCUAAUGUACUAGUGUCCGUUUUAUUUAAAUUUUUUUAUAAUUAGUAUUUUUAUUGUUAUUAGAUAAUAAAACAUAAAUACUAUUUUAUAUGUGACUAAUUUUUUAAACUUUUUCAUAAAUUUUUUAAAUAAGAAAAAUAGUCAAACAUUAAAUAUAGAAACCCACAACUGCAUUUAAA
rnacentral:pre_miRNA from 1 species